rnacentral:lncRNA from 1 species
AUUCUUUACUUGUAGCCGUUCUUUACUUUAUUAGUUAUUCUUUAUCAUUAGCUUUUCUCUAGUCUUUACUUGGUCACAUAACGCUCAUUGGCGAUUCUUUCCUAAGGUUGCUCAUACCUUAGCCAUCUAUGCCACUUGACUCGGUUUUGAGUCAAUCCUCUACGGAUAGUCCGCACACUGGCUGCUCAACAGCCCAUCGCACUCGAUGACUCGGCCACCCGGCGGCGAAAUCGUCGCACACGCACAGCUCUGGCUCAAGUCACCCUGCGGUAUGAUCCACAAACUGGCUCAACCAUCCGGCGACGAAAUCGUCGCACACGCCAUGACAAUGGUUCUUUAGCCCCGGGCAGCGAAAUCGUCGCACACACCCUGCACAACUCUUGGUGUUCCACGAGUCCUGAGAUUCUGGAAUCCAUUUCACAGUACUCAAGGAUUGGUCUUAACCCUAUGAAAUUGACCUAUCUAGGUCCAAGCCUUUACUCAACCUAAGUUAAUACUUUAGGUUCAUUGCUUUCAUACUCUUAGCCUAGGUUUAUUAACACUAGGUCCAUUAUUCUCGUCUACCUAGAUUCACUUGACUCUAGGUUCUUACCUUUACCUCACAACCUAUGUUCUCUAACAUUAGGUUUAAUGCCUUUCUCGUUAACCUAUGUUUAUUAACACUAGGUUCAUUAUCACUCUUGUUCAACCUAGGUUCACGACUCUAGGUUCAAUGCCACUCGAUCUAUAUGUAUACAUAUGUCCUUUACUCCUAGGUUCACGACUCUAGGUUCAAUGCCACUCGAUCUAUAUGUAUACAUAUGUCCCUUACUUAGCAUUCUUACAUUAACUAUAUUCUUAGCAUUAACCACAUGCUUGCAUUUAUUAAUUCUACAUCAUGCUUAUCAUACAAUUACUUAGCAUUCUUACAUUAACAUUUCUACACAUACAACAUGACUAACGUAUGUCAUUUAUUCUAUGCUUUCCACUUAGCAUUAUUUACACUAUGUCAUUACGCACCGUUUGGUAGCCUCACUUAGCAUUCAUCUCAUGCAUACACAUGGUCUAUUAAUAGCUACCAUUAUAUGCAUCAAUAAUAAUACUCAUUCUUAGACAUACAGGCGACCUAGUCGCUUCGGUAAAUACAACCGACCUUAACUCGCGUUUCGAUUGCUUGUCGACACUUGCAAUCGGCCUCCCGCGGCACCCGUAUCCGGCACAGCCCAAUAUUGCAAUUGCACCACAACCGUGCUCCGCUUCGCAGCCCCGAAAAUUAUAGGUCUUCGGUUAUGUGCCACGGUGCUCCAAAUCCAUUUCCACGAUUUUACGACGUCGCCUCGGCCCUCCAGACGGCAACGAAGCCUAAACGUCUGUUUCUUUAAUAACUUCGCAACGGCUCGUCGGAUUGCCGAACCGUCUUCGCCAACG